rnacentral:rRNA from 1 species
UACGAAGGGGGCUAGCGUUGUUCGGAAUUACUGGGCGUAAAGCGCGCGCAGGCGGGUCAUCAAGUCAGAGGUGAAAGCCCAGAGCUCAACUCUGGAACUGCCUUUGAAACUGUUAAACUAGAGGACGAGAGAGGUGAGUGGAAUUCCCAGUGUAGAGGUGAAAUUCGUAGAUAUUGGGAAGAACACCGGUGGCGAAGGCGGCUCACUGGCUCGUUUCUGACGCUCAGGCGCGAUAGCGUGGGGAUCAAACAGG